rnacentral:rRNA from 1 species
UGCAGUCGAGCGAGCUUUCGGGCUUAGCGGCGGACGGGUGAGUAACGCGUGGGAACGUGCCCUUUGGUACGGAAUAGUCCUGGGAAACUGGGUUUAAUACCGUAUAUUCUCUACGGAGGAAAGAUUUAUCGCCAAAGGAUCGGCCCGCGUUGGAUUAGGUAGUUGGUGGGGUAAUGGCCUACCAAGCCGACGAUCCAUAGCUGGUUUGAGAGGAUGAUCAGCCACACUGGGACUGAGACACGGCCCAGACUCCUACGGGAGGCAGCAGUGGGGAAUCUUAGACAAUGGGGGCAACCCUGAUCUAGCCAUGCCGCGUGAUCGAUGAAGGCCUUAGGGUUGUAAAGAUCUUUCGCUGGGGAAGAUAAUGACGGUACCCAGUAAAGAAGCCCCGGCUAACUCCGUGCCAGCAGCCGCGGUAAUACGGAGGGGGCUAGCGUUGUUCGGAAUUACUGGGCGUAAAGCGCGCGUAGGCGGAUUGGAAAGUUGGGGGUGAAAUCCCGGGGCUCAACCCCGGAACUGCCUCCAAAACUAUCAGUCUGGAGUUCGAGAGAGGUGAGUGGAAUUGCGAGUGUAGAGGUGAAAUUCGUAGAUAUUCGCAGGAACACCAGUGGCGAAGGCGGCUCACUGGCUCGAUACUGA